CAAUGAAAAGACUCUUCCUGCUUUACAACCAUUUCCCUGCAUAGACGAACUAUCGCAAGAAGGUGUGGAUACAACAGUACAUUGAGAGCCGAGAAGGAAGGACUGUGCUGGAGUACUAAUUCUGAACAUGGCACUAGGUCUUUCAUGAACCCAAGGAGCUGAUAUAUUUCCAGAAACCCACCCCAUGGUACAUGCUCAGGAUGUUGCUAAGAAGAAUGGAGAUAGUAAGUCUAAAUCAGGAUCUGGCAACGGACAUUCGUGCUCAUCUCCUGCGAGGAUGCGGAGGAAAUCCAGAC